UACGUAGGGUGCGAGCGUUGUCCGGAAUUAUUGGGCGUAAAGCGCUCGUAGGCGGUUUGUCGCGUCGGCCGUGAAAACUUGGGGCUUAACCCCAAGCCUGCGGUCGAUACGGGCAGACUUGAGUUCGGCAGGGGAGACUGGAAUUCCUGGUGUAGCGGUGAAAUGCGCAGAUAUCAGGAGGAACACCGGUGGCGAAGGCGGGUCUCUGGGCCGAUACUGAUGCUGAGGAGCAAAAGCGUGGGGAGCGAACAGG
rnacentral:rRNA from 1 species